rnacentral:rRNA from 1 species
UACGAGGGGGGCGAGCGUUGUUCGGAAUUAUUGGGCGUAAAGGGUGCGUAGAUGGCCGAGUAAGUUAGUGGUGGGAAAUCGAGGCUCAACCUCGUGGAAGCCAUUAAUACUGUUCGACUCGAGGAUAGGAGAGGUUGACGGAACUCCAUGUGGAAGGGUAAAAUCUGCAGAUAUAUGGAAGAACAUCAAUACGGCGAAGGCAGUUAACUAUUCUAUUCCUGACGUUGAGGCACGAAAGCGUGGGGAGCAAAAAGG